CAGUAGCCACGGUAAUACGUAGGUGGCAAGCGUUGUCCGGAAUUAUUGGGCGUAAAGGGCUCGCAGGCGGUUUCUUAAGUCUAAUGUGAAAGCCCCCGGCUCAACCGGGGAGGGUCAUUGGAAACUGGGAAACUUGAGUGCAGAAGAGGAGAGUGGAAUUCCACGUGUAGCGGUGAAAUGCGUAGAAAUGUGGAGGAACACCAGUGGCGAAGGCGACUCUCUGGUCUGUAACUGACGCUGAGGAGCGAAAGCGUGGGGAGCGAACAGGAUUAGAGACCCGGGUAGUCCCUGUCUCUUAUAC
rnacentral:rRNA from 1 species